GACGAACGCUAGCGGCAGGCCUAAUACAUGCAAGUCGAACGGUAAGGUCUCUUCGGAGAUACACGAGUGGCGCACGGGUGCGUAACACGUAUGCAACCUACCCUUUAGCGGAGGAUAGUCAUUGGAAACGAUGAAUAAUACUCCAUGUUAUCAUAAUACCGCAUGGUAUAAUGAUCAAAGCUCCGGCGCUAAAGGAUGGGCAUGCGCCCCAUUAGCUAGUUGGUGAAGUAAUGGUUCACCAAGGCAACGAUGGGUAGCUGGUCUGAGAGGAUGAUCAGCCACACGGGCACUGAGACACGGGCCCGACUCCUACGGGAGGCAGCAGUAAGGAAUAUUGGUCAAUGGGGGCAACCCUGAACCAGCCAUGCCGCGUGCAGGACGACGGCCCUCUGGGUUGUAAACUGCUUUUAUCUGGGAAUAAUUCGCUCCUAUACGGAGUUUUGUAGGUACCAGAAGAAUAAGCACCGGCUAACUACG
rnacentral:rRNA from 1 species